rnacentral:rRNA from 1 species
AGAAUCAGCGCUGGCGGCGUGCCUAACACAUGCAAGUCGAUCGAGAAAGUGGAGCAAUCCAUGAGUAAAGAGGCGCACGGGUGAGUAACACGUGACUAACCUACCUUCGAGUGGGGAAUAACCUGGGGAAACCCGGGCUAAUACCGCAUAAUACCUACGGGUCAAAGGAGCAAUUCGCUUGAAGAGGGGGUCGCGGCAGAUUAGUUAGUUGGCGGGGUAAUGGCCCACAAGACGAUGAUCUGUAUCCGGCCUGAGAGGGCGCACGGACACACUGGAACUGAAACACGGUCCAGACUCCUACGGGAGGCAGCAGUGGGGAAUUUGCGCAAUGGGGGAAACCCUGACGCAGCAACGCCGCGUGGAGGAUGAAGUCCCUUGGGACGUAAACUCCUUUCGACCGGGACGAUUAUGACGGUACCGGAUGAAGAGCCCGGCUAACUUCGCGCCAGCAGCCGC